rnacentral:rRNA from 1 species
CCACGUUGUAGCGGUUGAAAUUGCGUAGAGAUGUGGAGGAACACCAGUGGCGAAGGCGACUCUCUGGUCUGUAACUGACGCUGAGGAGCGAAAGCGUGGGGAGCGAACAGGAUUAGAUACCCUGGUAGUCCACGCCGUAAACGAUGACUGCUUAGUGUUAGGGGGUUUCCGCCCCUUAUUGCUGCACCUAACGCAUUAAUCACUCCGCCUGGGGAUUACGGUCGCAAGACUGAAACUCAAAGGAUUUGACGGGGGCCCGCACAAGCGGUGGACCAUGUGGUUUAUUUCAAACCAACGCGAAAAACCUUACCACGUCUUGACUUCCUCUGACUAUCCUAAAGAUAUGACGUCCCCUUCGGAAGCAUAAUGACAGGUGUUGCAUGGUUGUCGUCACCUCGUGUCGUGAGAUGUUGGGUUAAUUCCCGCAACAAGCGCAACCCUUGAUCUUAUUUGCCAGCAUUCAGUUGGGCACUCUAAGGUGACUGCCGGUGACAAACCGGAGGAAGGUGGGGGAUGACGUCAAAUCAUCAUGCCCCUUAUGACCUGGGCUACACACGUGCUACAAUGGAC